UGCAAGUCGAGCGGACUUAAAAAGCUUGCUUUUUAAGUUAGCGGCGGACGGGUGAGUAACACGUGGGCAACCUGCCUGUAAGACUGGGAUAACUUCGGGAAACCGGAGCUAAUACCGGAUAAUCCUUUCCUACUCAUGUAGGAAAGCUGAAAGACGGUUUACGCUGUCACUUACAGAUGGGCCCGCGGCGCAUUAGCUAGUUGGUGAGGUAACGGCUCACCAAGGCGACGAUGCGUAGCCGACCUGAGAGGGUGAUCGGCCACACUGGGACUGAGACACGGCCCAGACUCCUACGGGAGGCAGCAGUAGGGAAUCUUCCGCAAUGGACGAAAGUCUGACGGAGCAACGCCGCGUGAGUGAUGAAGGUUUUCGGAUCGUAAAACUCUGUUGUUAGGGAAGAACAAGUACGAGAGUAACUGCUCGUACCUUGACGGUACCUAACCAGAAAGCCACGGCUAACUACGUGCCAGCAGCCGCGGUAAUACGUAGGUGGCAAGCGUUGUCCGGAAUUAUUGGGCGUAAAGCGCGCGCAGGCGGUCCUUUAAGUCUGAUGUGAAAGCCCACGGCUCAACCGUGGAGGGUCAUUGGAAACUGGGGGACUUGAGUGCAGAAGAGAAGAGUGGAAUUCCACGUGUAGCGGUGAAAUGCGUAGAGAUGUGGAGGAACACCAGUGGCGAAGGCGACUCUUUGGUCUGUAACUGACGCUGAGGCGCGAAAGCGUGGGGAGCAAACAGGAUUAGAUACCCUGGUAGUCCACGCCGUAAACGAUGAGUGCUAAGUGUUAGAGGGUUUCCGCCCUUUAGUGCUGCAGCAAACGCAUUAAGCACUCCGCCUGGGGAGUACGGCCGCAAGGCUGAAACUCAAAGGAAUUGACGGGGGCCCGCACAAGCGGUGGAGCAUGUGGGUUAAUUCGAAGCAACGCGAAGAACCUUACCAGGUCUUGACAUCUCCUGACAUUCCUAGAGAUAGGACGUUCCCCUUCGGCGGACAGGAUGAAAGGUG
rnacentral:rRNA from 2 species